rnacentral:rRNA from 1 species
AGGGUUUGAUCCUGGCCCAGGAUAAACGCUGGCGGCGUGCUUUGGUAUGCAAGUGGAACGAUCCUACUUCGGUAGGAGAGUCGCGAACGGCCGAGUAACACGUAGGAAUCUGCCUCUAGGUGGGGAAUAGUCCGUCGAAAGACGGGGUAAUACCGCAUGGUCUGCAUUCAGUAACAUGAAUGUAGUAAAGAGCUUAACUGCUCGCCAAGAGAAGAGCCUGCGGCCUAUCAGCUUGUUGGUGAGGUAAUGGCUCACCAAGGCGACGACGGGUAGGGGACUUGAGAGAGUGUACCCCCGGAAUGGCACUGAGACACGGGCCAUACACCUACGGGUGGCGCAACCAGGAAUCGUGCGCAAUGGGCGAAAGCCUGACGCCGCGACGCCGCGUGUGGGAUGAAUGCCUUCGGGUUGUAAACCACUUUUGGUUAAUGGGAGAUCAUUUUCAGAAUAAGCACCGGCUAACUACGUGCCAGCAGCAGCGGUAAUACGUAGGGUGCAAGCGUUGUCCGGAUUUACUGGGCGUAAAGGGUUCGUAGGCGUUUUCGUAAGUUAUAUUUCAAAGACCGGGGCUUAACCGCGGAAAGGGAUGUAAUACUGCGAAAAUAGAAAUACUUAGGGGCUAUCGGAACUUACCAUGUAGGGGUGAAAUCCGUUGAUAUGGUAAGGAACGCCAAGGGCGAAGGCGGAUAGCUGGGAGUUAUUUGACGCUGAGGGACGAAAGCUAGGGUAGCGAAAGGGAUUAGAGACCCCUGUAGUCCUAGCCGUAAACGAUGCUCGCUAGGGAUGUGUUCUUUAUGAAUGCGUUCCGUAAGCUAACGCGUGAAGCGAGCCGCCUGGGGAGUACGAUCGCAAGAUUAAAACUCAAAGGAAUUGACGGGGACCUGCACAACCAGUGGAGCAUGUGGUUUAAUUCGAGACGAACCGAAGAACCUUACCUGGGUUUGACAUCCCGAUGAUCACUCUAGAGAUAGAGUUUCUCUGAAUUUAUUUAGAGCAUCGGUGACAGGUGCUGCAUGGCUGUCGUCAGCUCGUGCCGUAGGGCGUUCCCUUCAGUGGGGUAACGAGCGCAACCCUUGCCGUAUGUUAAAUGUUCAUACGGGACUGACCAGUUUUUCUGGUAGGAAGUGGGGAUGACGUCAAGUCAGCAUGGCCCUUAUACCCAGGGCUACACACAUGCUACAAUGGAGCCGACAGAGGGUUGCCAAGCGGUAACGCGGAGCUAAUCCCUUAAACGGCUUCUCAGUGGGGAUUGAGGGCUGCAAUUCGCCCUCAUGAACGAGGAAUUGGUAGUAAUCGCAGAUCAGCCAAGCUGCGGUGAAUACGUUCUCAGGUCUUGUACACACCGCC